GACGAACGCUGGCGGCGCGCUUAACACAUGCAAGUCGAACGGAAAGGCCUGCUUUCCCUUGUGGCUUGCGGGUACUCGAGUGGCGAACGGGUGAGUAACACGUGAGUGAUCUGCCCCCAACUUGGGUAUAAGCCUGGGAAACUGGGUCUAAUUCCCGAUAGGACUGCAGGGUGGUGCCUGUGGUGGAACACGAUGUUCUAGUGGUUGGGGAUGAGCUCGCGGCCUUUCAGCUUGUUGGUGGGGUAAUGGCCUCCCACGGCGGCGACGGGUAGCCGGCCGGAGAAGGCAGAGGGUGUCUGGGAGGUUGGUCAACGACCCUAGCACUAACGGGAGGCAGAGUUGGGGAAUAGUGGACAAUGUGGGGAAGCUUGAUGAAGCGGCGCAGCGUGGAGGAUGCCGGGCUUCGGGUUGUAUACUGCUUUUGACGGUGAGGAGGCCAUUUAGUUGGAAGGGUGGUGACGGUAGUGGUAGAAGAAGCACCGGCUAACUACGUG
rnacentral:rRNA from 1 species